rnacentral:rRNA from 1 species
CCUACGGGGGGCUGCAGUGGGGAAUAUUGGACAAUGGGGGCAACCCUGAUCCAGCAAUGCCGCGUGUGUGAAGAAGGCCUGCGGGUUGUAAAGCACUUUUAGCGAUGAGGAAGGGUGUAGGUCGAAUAGGCUUACAUUUUGACGUUAGUCGCAGAAAAAGCACCGGCUAACUCUGUGCCAGCAGCCGCGGUAAUACAGAGGGUGCAAGCGUUAAUCGGAAUGACUGGGCGUAAAGGGUGCGUAGGUGGCCUAUUAAGUUAGUUGUGAAAGCCCUG